rnacentral:lncRNA from 1 species
AUAUAGAAUAAUACACAGAAUAUUGGGCACAAAUAAAUUUUUAUUUAAGAUAAAAUAAAACAAAGCGAUAAAUGUACUUUCUGCAGUGAAGUUACUGAAGAUAUUGAACACAUAUUUUGGACAUGCCAUAAAAUAGCAGAUCUGUGGAUAAGACUCAUGGACUGGAUUUAUAACCAAACACAAAUAAUUAUUCCAUUUAACAUGGAUAUAAUUUUAUUCGGAAAUUUAGGAAAAACAGAAAAUAAUAAAAUAAAAAACUUAAUAAUACUUUUAUCAAAAUUCUUUAUCUAUAGAACAAAACUGUGUGAAAAUCAAGUAAAUUUUGCAGGGCUGAAAAACUAUCUAAAAGAAAAUCUAAUAAUAGAAAAGAAUAUAUUUUUUAAAACAAAGCCUCUUCACAUUGCCAACCUCUACUGGGACCCCUGGCUUCCAUUAUUAGAAUAAUUUACACUUAAGCAACUUAAUUAGCAUUACCCUAUGUAAUGUUAUUGUGCAUUUUAUUUUAGCCUUUUCACACAACAUAUAUGUUUUUUAUUAUAAUAUACUGUUAUAUGUUGUUUAUUGUUUAUUGUCUUUUGUUCUUGUUUUGUGCCUAAAAUGCAUAUACAUUCUCUAAUAUCUAUUUUGUGUUUGUAUGAAUUAUUUACAAUGGAAAACCAACUUUGCCAAAUCUAUUUAAUGUUGUAUCUUAAGAAAAAAAUACUGCUGCCAAAUUCCAAAUUUCAAGGACUUUCUAUUUUUUAUUUUUAUUUUUUUUUUCUCUAGUUUUUAUUUUUUGUUUUUUUUUUGUAUUUGUGUUUUAAUUAUUUAUUAUUUUCUCUUCUCUUCUCACAUUCUCUCUUAAAUAAAAUUCUCACUUUAUUGAUCAAUAUUGAAAUAAUUGAUACACAA